ensembl:lncRNA
UCUUUUGCUGGAGAUUUCUGCUUACCUGAGGUCUUCUAAAGGGCAAUGCAUAAGGUUUUCAGAGAACUCACACCUCUGUUUCAGUUACCCAAGAUCUUUUGAGUGUUGUUAUCCAGAGCCCAGCACUGCAGAUGUAGGCUGUCGGUGCUUCUGUACUAUCAAAUGCAUUUCUGAUGAGGACCUGUGACAUGGCCUUGUCUGAGGCUUAACAAUCUCACCAUCAAAGCUCCAGCUCUGGGAACAGUGCAGAAAAAUGAAAAUUUCCUUAACGAAACAGCUGUGUCCUGCCUGCAGCCUGAAGAAGAAUGGCAUUAGUCACAUGCAGUUCAACACAUAGCACAAUUGUAAAGUUCACUCUAUGAGACUGACAGGAGCUAUUCACAUCGGCCCCCUCCACCAUCUGCCUGAAUGGCAGCGGCUGUGGGGCGGUGACAGCCCCCCCGCCUGCCCCAGUGCUCAGGGCCUGCUCAGAGUCUGUCCCCAUGUGCGGCAAAUGGGGGGUGAAAGCAACGAGAGGAUGUCACUCAGGUCAAAGCAGAUUGUCAAGAGAAAAAAAAAAAAAUGGGGAGGGGAGAGUCAAAGCUGGUGGGAGUACCGAUUUGCUGUUCUCCUGGGGGAAAGGUGUUGGCUCCAACUUGGUGAGAAGCAAAGAGAACAGCUGAGUCUGGGGAGAAAUCCUAUAUCUCUCUCCUUCCUCGCUUCCUGAGCUUAGAGGACUUGGAUUUGGGAAUGAGCUCUGAGUCCAGAGGGCAACCUGCUGCAGGCUUGAACACAGUCAGUGUCCCCUCUUGGUAUGCUGCAGGACCCCUCCUGCAGUCUGGGAAGGUCAGACUGGAUGAAGGCGUGAGGCUCAUUUUCAUCCUAUCACCUGUUUUUCCUUCUCAUUUCCAGAUGGUGACUUCUCUUCUCAAAGCAGAAACUUCGGCCAUCAAACCAUGGGGUGUGUGGCCCAGUAUUCCUAAAAUCCUUUCCUCUCCAAUUGCAGUAACUCCUAAGGUCACCCAGUUCUUGCAGUAUGAUGUUAAACAACAUCUCCCACUUUUAUGCCACUGGUGUAUCAUUAACAUUACAUCUCCUUUUCUCUCCUCACCUCUUCAAUACACAACAAACUGAAACCUUUGGUGAAUUUCUAAAGAAAGUUUUUUGA